rnacentral:rRNA from 1 species
UACGAAGGGGGCUAGCGUUGCUCGGAAUUACUGGGCGUAAAGCGCACGUAGGCGGCUUCUUAAGUCGGUGGUGAAAUCCUGGAGCUCAACUCCAGAACUGCCUUCGAUACUGGGAGCUCGAGUCCGGGAGAGGUGAGUGGAACUGCGAGUGUAGAGGUGAAAUUCGUAGAUAUUCGCAGGAACACCAGUGGCGAAGGCGGCUCACUGGCCCGAUACUGACGCUGAUGCACGAAGCGUGGGGAGCAAACAGG